rnacentral:lncRNA from 1 species
GAAUCCAGGUCCGUCUGCCCUGAUUUCGGUUCGCCCUAGUUCCGUUUCGCCCUGAGACCGUUCGCCCUGAUACCUGAUUUUUAUUUUUUAUUAUAGUGUUGUGUUGUGUGUAUUUAAUUGAAUAUGUUGAAGUCAGUCUACAAUUUCGCCGAAUAUUUACGAUUUUUAUUUUUUAGUAUAGUGUUGUGUUGUGUGUAUUUAAUUAAAUAUGUUGAAGUCGGUCUACAAUUUCGCCGAAUAUUUACGAUGUAUUAUGUUGUCUACAGCUAGCUG